AGUUAACGUUGGCGGCGUGCCUAACACAUGCAAGUCGAACGCGUCCUAAGGGCAACUUUAGGAUGAGUGGCGAACGGGUGAGUAUCACGUGGGUAAUCUUCCUUCAAGUGGGGAAUAAGCUCUCGAAAGGGAGUCUAAUACCGCAUGACAUUCCGGGACACAAGUCCCGUAAUCAAAGCCGCAAGGCGCUUGAAGAUGAGCCUGCGUCCUAUUAGCUAGUUGGUGGGGUAACGGCCUACCAAGGCUUAGAUGGGUAGCCGGCCUGAGAGGGUGAACGGCCACACUGGGACUGAGACACGGCCCAGACUCCUACGGGGGCAGCAGUGGGGAAUCUUGCACAAUGGGCGAAAGCCUGAUGCAGCGACGCCGCGUGAGCGAAGAAGGCCUUCGGGUUGUAAAGCUCUGUCUGGAGGGACGAAGGAAGUGGACGGUACCGUCCGGAGGAAGCCGACGGCUAACUACGUGCCAGCAGCCGACGGUAAAGUCACGUCG
rnacentral:rRNA from 1 species